ACAGCAGUGACAACACUGGAUCCUUAACAGCUAAGCCACCAGGGAUUUUUAAGAAAUACAGUUUGGUGAGGGGGAAAAAAACCUGGCCAACCCAUUUUUAUGGUGGUUUACCCUGAAGCUCUGCGUACACUCCCUCACUGCCCCAUCCAUACCCAUCUAUUGCCUUGUAUUUGGGUGCAAACCCCGAGGGUACACACCUGAAGCGAUCAUGAAGUCAUACCAUCUAAGGCUGGUGUGCUGAUCCCACACGCCCAGAGUGUGUGUAAUAGGUGAGUUAUUUAUUUUCACUGACCCAAGACGGGGGAUCAGUAAAGCCUAGGUUGGCAAAAGAUUUGAAGAGGAGGCAGACGCUGGGUAGCAAAGGCAAAAAGAAGGACCUUGCAUGUACCCGCCCCCACCCACUGCUCCCAGCAGCCUCGAGACUGGAGACGCCAUGUGUUUACGCCCCAGGUACCUUCCUUCUCAUUUCAGCAAAUACAAGUCAGGUCAAGCCCACAGCGAAACUGCAGGAGCUUUGGCGAUGGGCGGUGCCCAUAGAGCCCGCACACGUGAAAUGACUUAACACUCGGACCCCAGCAAACCCGCAAGCAAGUUAAUUUAGGGGGAAGUGAACAUGUGUGCUUAGGUGGCCAAAAAGAAGGAGCGGUUUGGCAGGAGGGGCUCAUCAAGAGUCACCAUGAAGGGAAGAGCAGCCCAGAUGCUUGUAGAUGUAAACGACCUCAGUUGGGGAAAUAUGAAUAUGUGUUUCUGCGUGGACUAGCCCAGGAUCUUCUUCUGAAAAGGUCUUCAAAAUCAUUAUUUGGAAAACAAUGCCCGUUUACUCAACAACCACUCCUGAAGCUCCUACUGUGUGCCAGACAAAAGUCAGAUCUGACAAUCCUAGGUCCCCAUUCCCCCCUGGCAUCGUGGACUGGAGCCGAGUAUCUGCAGGAGUUCUUCAGUUUUCCAUACUCCCCACCCAUCCCCAGCCCUGAAACCAAGACUCCAGAGCCCAGGAUCAUUGCACACACAGAGUCGUAUUCCUUACGCUCAAGAAAUCCUUCCUGUACCCAGGAAAUUGAAAACCAGACCAAGGAAGUGGUAUGUUUUUUGAAAAGAAAGCAUAAAUCAAUCUCUGUAAGCAAAGACAAUCCUUAGGAGUUUUAUGCUGAAAACACCCGCACUCACUUGCUGAACUGCCCAGCCUGGCGGGCAUUUGCAUUUUCCAUCCCUGGCUCCGUGAGAUGUGUCCCCACUGGCCAUUGUUUCCUUCCUGUUCAUGUUCUGUCCCCCACCAGCUUCCUUGUCACCGCCCCAAAGCACUUCUCUUUCCUCUCCUUCCCCAUGUGUGGGAAUGACAUAGGUUUUAGAGCGGAAUAAACCUGGUUCAAUCCUAAUGCUUCUGAGCUUCCGGUUUGCGUCUAUGGAAAGGGUACAGUAUCAGGUUGCCUUAUCGGGUGGUUUGAGAAUUAACCAAGAGCAUGUACAUCCAGUCCUUGGCAUGACGCCUGGCAAAGAGUGAUUGCUCAAUAGUGCUAGUUCCUUUCCUCUGGUUAAAGGGGGAGCCUCUUCAAGGUUCUGUCCCCCGACCCUUCCGCUCACUGUCCAGUCCUCCGGGGGUAGCAGUUACUGAACCAGAUGAGGAAGUGACCUUGAACUGCACAAGUAGAGCCCUCUCGACCCAGACCACGUGUAUCUCCAACUCAACUUCCCUCAGCGAGAUCCAAGAAAACCCACAGAAAUUCCGGCCUCCCCACCCCAAGAGGACGUGAGAUGAGCGCAGUGGAAGGAAGGAGACAUUGGUCUCAACGGAGUGCAGUCAAACUCUCACACUCUGGCAAAGGUUAUCCGCAUGAAUAACCAUGCGAGCUCCUUGCUAGGACCUCAGAAGUGCCCGUGCAAGUGAUGAACCCUGAAGCUUAACCUUAACGACCUUGACGACAGAGUCACCUCUGUCCAUACCCGCUUCGGUCUGGCCAAAUGGGAUUGACACCCACUGCCAAGACCCUGCUUGUGUUGGUCCAUCAUCCUGUCAAUCACCCGUCUGCCAUGAACACAUCCCAACGUUUUUCAAUGAAUUCUCUUCCAUCCUCUUCCAUACCCUUAAAGAAUCUCACCUUGUAUGUCUCUUAUUGAUUAUGGCAGAGGCGACCUUGUGUUUUAGUCUUCCGUUCAUUCAACACACGUUUGUUGAAUGCCCAUCAUGUUUCAGCUAUUGUUUGGACAUUAGGGAUACCCCCAAAGAAGCCAAGUCCUAGCAUUCUUGGAGCUGAUAGCCUAGUUGGGGUAUACCUUAUAAGCACCUUAAAAUGCAAAUAAAAUCAUUUCAGAGAGUGAUAGGGCCUUGGAGAGCCUGGCCAUGGAGUGACCAGGGGAAAGGAAUGCUGCUUUAGCUGAUGGUAUGAGAGCCCCCCCCCCCUUUUUUUAUCUUAUUUUAGGGCCACACCUUUUUUUGUUUGUUUGUUUGUUUGUUUUAAUUGUAGGGCCACAUCUGCGGCAUAUGGAAGUUCCCAGGCUAGGGGUCAAAUCGGAGCUGUAGUUGCUGGCCUAGAUCACAGCCACAGCAACGCAGGAUCUGAGUCAUGUCUGCGAUCUACACCACAGCUCAUGGCAAUGCCAGAUCCUCAACCCACUGAGCGAGGCCAGGGAUCAAACCUGCGUCCUCAUGGAUGCUAAUCAGAUUCAUUUCCACUGAGCCACAAUGGGAACUCCAUGAGAGGCCUUUGUGAUGAGCUGACCCUGGAUAAUGAGAGGAAGCCUGCCCCAAGAAGAGCUGAGGAAAAGGCAUUCUGGGCCUAAGGAACAGCAAGCGCAAAGGCAACAAGGCAGAAUACUGGCUCCGGAUAAAUUAUAUUGGGGGACACUCUCAUUCCUGUCUCUAAUGAGCCUUUAGUCCCUGCACAGCAUACAGGAUCCCCCAACUUUUGUCUCCUACCUAGAUCUUUCCUUCAGAGCAGGAUCCUUUUCUGUUUGGAAGU
ensembl:lncRNA